UGUUUUUGCUUUUCCCCUUUGAAGUAUUAGGCUUUAAAAGAUCUGCUGCUCUUCCAGCAUUCCUGUGUAUGAACAUACUUCAAUUAUUUAUACAAUCUACAGUUGAUGGACAUUUGCAUGGUUCCCACUUCGAAUCUAUUAUGAAAAAAAGCUGCUAUGGACAUUCCCGUCGAUGGCUUUUUGUGGUGGACAGACACAAGGCUCAUUUCUCCCAGUACGCGGGUCCCUCACUGCCGCGGCCUCUCCCGCCGCAGAGCACAGGC